GCACAUUUUACACACAUAGUACUGCCCACAGGGUUUUGCAGAACAACCAAUCAAUACGUACAAUACACUCAGACACUCUCACACAAAAUCCUCCCCUCUGCCUGUGAUAUGAUUACUGAACACAAUGGUCUAACUUAAUUAUCACAGGCAGGAAAAUACACAGUUUUACACAAUUUUCAUAACUCUAAAAGUAUACAUCACAUUCACAUAAAAAUUACAUUUUCAGAAUCAGCGUACUCCAAAUAUACGUCAAAAUCAUAAAAAUUGGUCCAGUGGGUCAAAAGUUAGUUGAAAGUCCCUUUGUGACCAUCUGCAAGCAUAGCUUGGGUGUGGUAAGCCAAUUACCUCCAGCAUACAGAAAUUGGC